rnacentral:rRNA from 1 species
UACGUAGGGUGCAAGCGUUGUCCGGAAUUAUUGGGCGUAAAGAGCUCGUAGGCGGUUUGUCGCGUCUGCUGUGAAAACUGGAGGCUCAACCUCCAGCCUGCAGUGGGUACGGGGCAAACUAGAGUGCGGUAGGGGGAGAUUGGAAUUCCUGGUGUAGCGGUGGAAUGCGCAGAUAUCAGGAGGAACACCGAUGGCGAAGGC